GUAACGCGUAUCCAACCUUACCCACUUACUGUUGGGAGUAACCUGCCGAAAGGCAGACUAAUACCGCAUAGUCUUCGAUGACGGCAUCAGAUUUGAAGUAAAGAUUUAUCGGUAAUGGAUGGGGAUGCGUCUGAUUAGCUUGUUGGCGGGGUAACGGCCCACCAAGGCGACGAUCAGUAGGGGGUUCUGAGAGGAAGGUCCCCCCACAUUGGAACUGAGACACGGUCCAAACUCCUACGGGAGGCAGCAGGG
rnacentral:rRNA from 1 species